CUGUGAAGGCGAUUAUCACAUGGCUAUUAGGAUCAGAACUGGACAUUGGCGCAGUUGACUAGUCAGAUGAAUCCUGCAUUAUUCAAGAUCAGGUGGACGACCUGGAGGAAACCCACAUGGACAUGGGGAGAACAUGCAAACUCCACACAGACCUGGACUACUACUUGGGAAUCGGACCCAGGACCUUCUUGCUAUGAGGCGACAGUGCUACCCACCGAGCCACCAAGCCACAGUGUUUAUAUCCCAAAACGACGAUCAAUACCAUCCAGUGUGAGGACCAGUGUGCUGUUUAAAUGUCAAGGUAUG